rnacentral:rRNA from 1 species
GACGAACGCUGGCGGCGCGCUUAACACAUGCAAGUCGAACGGAAAGGCCUGCUUUCCCUUGUGGAUUGCGGGUACUCGAGUGGCGAACGGGUGAGUAACACGUGAGUGAUCUGCCCCCAACUUGGGUAUAAGCCUGGGAAACUGGGUCUAAUUCCCGAUAGGACUGCAGGGUGGUGCCUGUGGUGGAAAACGAUUUUCUAGUGGUUGGGGAUGAGCUCGCGGCCUAUCAGCUUGUUGGUGGGGUAAUGGCCUACCAAGGCGGGGACGGGUAGCCGGCCUGAGAGGGUGGACGGCCACAUUGGGACUGAGAUACGGCCCAGACUCCUACGGGAGGCAGCAGUGGGGAAUAUUACACACUGGGCGGAAGCCUGAUGCAGCGACGCCGCGUGGGGGAUGACGGCCUUCGGGUUGUAAACUCCUUUCGACCGCGAGGAAGCCACCUGGUUGGAAGGGUGGUGACGGUAGUGGUAGAAGAAGCACCGGCUAACUACGUG